rnacentral:rRNA from 1 species
AUACGGAGGGUGCGAGCGUUAAUCGGAAUUACUGGGCGUAAAGCGUACGUAGGCGGUUGGUUAAGUUAGAUGUGAAAGCCCCGGGCUUAACCUGGGAACUGCAUUUAAAACUGGCGAACUAGAGUUGAGUAGAGGGGAGUGGAAUUUCAGGUGUAGCGGUGAAAUGCGUAGAGAUCUGAAGGAACACCAGUGGCGAAGGCGACUCCCUGGACUCGAACUGACGCUGAGGUACGAAAGCGAGGGUAGCAAACGGGAUUAGAAACCCUUGUAGUCC